rnacentral:rRNA from 1 species
AGCGGUAGCACAGAGAGCUUGCUCUCGGGUGACGAGCGGCGGACGGGUGAGUAAUGUCUGGGAAACUGCCUGAUGGAGGGGGAUAACUACUGGAAACGGUAGCUAAUACCGCAUAACGUCGCAAGACCAAAGUGGGGGACCUUCGGGCCUCAUGCCAUCAGAUGUGCCCAGAUGGGAUUAGCUAGUAGGUGGGGUAAUGGCUCACCUAGGCGACGAUCCCUAGCUGGUCUGAGAGGAUGACCAGCCACACUGGAACUGAGACACGGUCCAGACUCCUACGGGAGGCAGCAGUGGGGAAUAUUGCACAAUGGGCGCAAGCCUGAUGCAGCCAUGCCGCGUGUAUGAAGAAGGCCUUCGGGUUGUAAAGUACUUUCAGCGAGGAGGAAGGCGUUAAGGUUAAUAACCUUGGCGAUUGACGUUACUCGCAGAAGAAGCACCGGCUAACUCCGUGCCAGCAGCCGCGGUAAUACGGAGGGUGCAAGCGUUAAUCGGAAUUACUGGGCGUAAAGCGCACGCAGGCGGUCUGUCAAGUCGGAUGUGAAAUCCCCGGGCUCAACCUGGGAACUGCAUUCGAAACUGGCAGGCUAGAGUCUUGUAGAGGGGGGUAGAAUUCCAGGUGUAGCGGUGAAAUGCGUAGAGAUCUGGAGGAAUACCGGUGGCGAAGGCGGCCCCCUGGACAAAGACUGACGCUCAGGUGCGAAAGCGUGGGGAGCAAACAGGGAUUAGAUA